UUCUUGGGUAAUAUGAUCAGCUCUUGCUCAAUUUCCUCAGCCCACUGAGCUGUUUCACAUUCAAAUGAUGGCUCUUUGUUUGGGUGCAGGGUUGCACUGGCAGCCUCUUUGAGAUAUUGCUGUUAUCAGUCACUAAGCACACAGGGAGUCAAUGGUUCUUAGGCACUUGAGCCAUAUCCUGUAUUGAAAUUUUUAUUUAACAGGAGCUGUUUGAAGAGGAAGAUACAGGACAUCAAGUUUUCUGAUCAGGCCAGGUCUUCUCUCUUGGCAGUUCCUGAAAGACAUAGAGAUAGAUUAUUAUUUAUUAGGAGAAUAAUGACCAGUUCCUUCAAGGAUUAAAAAUAAUCAUACAGAACACUUGUAAUUCAGGGCAAAAAAAUGAUACUAGAGAGGCAGUAUAUUUGAAUACUCUGACAAGAACCAGUGACCAGCACUGUUCAUGACUGAAGGUUGCUUGGCAAACACUGAAUCUUGUGGAUUAACUCAGUCCCACAGUAGGAUCGACUGAGUUGUUUUACCUCCAUUCACUUGACCAGAUAUAUGGAAUCUCAGAGCUGGAGGGCACCUCAGAGUCCAUCUAAUCUAGUGACUGGAACAUAAAAGCCAAAUGAGAAAAUGAAACAGAAACCUGAAGAUGUGAAUAUUCUUCGUGGAAGGACUGUAUCUGCUUUUGGAGUUGCAUAGAUGCAUGUGCUGAGAAAAGCCUAAACGAUGACAGUCUGCAGCAUGCAAUGACAUUGCCGCACCUCACAGAUUGUGUGCCUGCUAAUUGCAGUCUCAUUUGUUCAAGGAGAAGAGCCAGAAGAUGUUUGAAGACUUUGGGGCUCCCUGUCUCUGACAGCAGCAAGAGCAGAGCACUCCCCCAAGAAAGCCCCAGAGUUGUAAACCCAUAGCAUGAAGUUCUUGGGAGCAAACACAGGGAGUAGUAUAUACAUAGGAUUGAAAAAUGUGAGAGUGGCUCUGAUCAGGAUGCCUAAUGGUUCUGAGAACCUUAACACCCUUUUCUGAGACGUCAUGAAAAGUGAUGCUGGUUUCUGUUCUCUUACCAAUGCAGAGAAUGCAGAGAGGUGCUGCACUGGUUCUAUCUCCGAUGUGACUUUGCUUGAGGACAGCAUUUAUCCUGCCUGGAAGUGGUAAAGAUAGGACUUAAUCCUAUGUAUUUCAAAACUGAGAGUUAAGCGACCUUUUGCUUCUGCCAUUAUGACUUCCAUGUCAAGAUGGUGUGAUACAGGGAAAAAGAACUUUGGACCUAGACCCCAGAGAGAGAUCUAGAUUCAAAUUAUAUUUUAGCUAGUUAUUUGCUGUAUUGCCCUGAGGAAAUCACCUUACUUCAUGGAUCCUCAGUUUCUUAAUCUGUUUAAAGAAGCAAAUUGUAUUAUGAAUUUUAGGAUGAAGAUAACUUGAAAAUCCUUUCCAGAAAGCACUAACUAUGAAGAACUGGGCUAGGUGAAAAUUAAUCAAAGAUAAAAGAAAAAGUAAAAAGAGUAGUGC